AUGUGGAACAACACCGAAAUUCCACCGCCGGCGACGACCUGCGAAUCCACGAUUCCACCACCGGCCGAUCUGGACGAGAAGGCCCGCAGAUGGCAGCAGCUCUCCUCCCGCAAGUGGUCAUCCACCCGCCACGGCGAACGGCGCGUCGUCGAUUCGCGAAAGGAGGACAUGCCGCCGGAGCACGUGAGGAAGAUCAUCAAAGAGCACGGCGACAUGUCGUCCAGGAAGUACCGGCACGACAAGCGCGUCUACCUCGGCGCUCUCAAGUUCAUCCCUCACGCCGUGUACAAGCUCCUGGAGAAUAUGCCGGUGCCGUGGGAGCAGGUCCGUAACGUGAAGGUGCUGUACCAUAUCACCGGAGCGAUUACAUUCGUGAACGAGACGCCGCUGGUUGUGGAGCCGAUCUACAUGGCGCAGUGGGCCACAAUGUGGAUCAUGAUGCGGAGGGAGAAGAGGGAUCGCCGGCAAUUCAAGAGAAUGAGGUUUCCGGCGUUCGAUGACGAGGAGCCUGUGCUGGAUUAUGCUGAUAAUUUGCUAGAUGUUGAGCCGCUCGAGGCGAUUCAGCUUGAGCUGGACAAGGAUGAGGAUUCUGCUGUGUAUGACUGGUUUUAUGACCAUAAGCCUCUAGUGAAGACCAGGAUGGUGAAUGGGCCGGGUUACAGGAAGUGGCAGCUCUCGCUGCCGAUUAUGGAGGCUCUUUACAGGCUUUCUGGACAGGUAAUUUCCAAUUUGACUGACAGGAACUAUUUCUAUUUGUUUGAUAAAGAGUCGUUUCUGACAGCCAAGGCAUUGAAUAUUUGUAUACCAGGUGGGCCAAAAUUCGAGCCGUUGUUUAGGGAUACGGAGACAGGGGAGGAGGAUUGGAAUGAGUUUAAUGACAUAAACAAGCUCAUUAUUCGGUCUCCGCUGAGAUCAGAGUACAGGAUUGCAUUCCCUAGUCUUUACAAUAGCCGGCCCAGGAAGGUAAAGCUCUCUGUUUAUCACACACCUAUGGUUAUGCAUAUUAAAUCUGAGGAUCCUGAUCUGCCUGCAUUUUAUUAUGAUCCAUUGCUAAACACAAUACCUAGCACUAACCGGAACAGUUAUGAUAGUUGUGAGGAAGAUGAUGAAUUUGUUUUGCCUGAAGGGGUGGAGCCUCUUUUGAGUCAUACUGAGCUUUAUACUGAUACCACUGCUGCUGGGAUUUCCCUGUUUUUUGCACCAUGCCCUUUUAACAUGAGGUCUGGGAGGACUCGUCGGGCACAGGAUAUUCCUCUUGUGUCAGAGUGGUUUAAGGAGCAUUGUCCUCAGUCUUAUCCAGUUAAAGUUCGAGUCAGCUAUCAGAAGUUGUUGAAAUCUUUUGUGUUGAAUGAGGUGCAUCGUAGGCCUCCCAAGGCACACACGAAGAAGGACUUGUUUCGUUCUCUUCAGGCUACUAAGUUUUUCCAGACUACUGAGCUUGAUUGGGUUGAAGCGGGUCUUCAAGUCUGUAAGCAGGGUCAUAACAUGCUGAAUCUGUUGAUACAUAGGAAAGGUCUGAACUACCUUCACCUUGAUUAUAAUUUUAAUCUCAAGCCUGUGAAAACCCUGACAACAAAAGAGCGCAAGAAAUCUCGGUUUCGUAAUGCUUUUCAUCUGUUGCGUGAAAUCUUGCGGUUGACAAAGCUUGUAGUUGAUGCUCAGGUCCAGUUCCGUUUGGGUAAUGUUGAUGCCUUUCAACUGGCUGAUGGUCUGCAGUACAUGUUUUCUCAUGUUGGUCAGUUAACUGGAAUGUACCGUUACAAGUACAGGUUGAUGCGGCAGAUUAGAAUGACCAAAGAUUUGAAGCACUUGAUUUACUACCGUUUCAAGACUGGGCCGGUCGGAAAAGGGCCGGGAUGUGGAUUCUGGGCACCAAUGUGGAGGGUGUGGCUGUUCUUCCUUCGUGGCAUAGUCCCUCUUCUGGAACGGUGGUUGGGAGGUUUACUUGCUAGACAAUUUGUAGGGCGACAUUCUGUGGCAAAGAGAGUAACUAAGCAGCGUGUCGAAAGCAAUUUUGAACUGGAGUAUCGAGCAGCUGUCUUGAAAGAUAUUCUGGAUGCGAUGCCAGCGGGCAUGAAGCAAAAUAAGGCGAAAACAAUUAUGCAGCAUCUCAGUGAGGCAUGGCGUUGUUGGAAAGCAAAUAUUCCAUGGAAGGUUCCUGGUAUGCCUGCUCCCGUUGAGAAUAUAAUUCUUCGUUAUGUCAAGGCAAAGGCAGAUUGGUGGACACAUGGUGCUCAUUAUAACCGUGAACGUAUUAAAAGAGGUGCUACAGUGGAUAAGACAGUUUGUCGAAAGAAUCUCGGAAGAUUAACUCGCCUUUGGCUAAAGGGAGAGCAGGAGCGACAACACAAUUAUCUCAAAGAUGGUCCAUAUAUUUCAACAGAAGCAGUGUCAAUUUACACAACUACUGUGCUUGGUUGGAGUCAAGAAACUUCCAACAUAUUCCAUUUCCUCCUCUGUCAUAUAAGCAUGAUACCAAACUCCUUAUCCUUGCUCUGGAGAGGUUGAAGGAAUCUUAUACUGGAGCAGUAAAAUUGAACCAGCAUCAAAGAGAGGAGUUGGGUCUCAUUGAACAAGCCUAUGAUAACCCCCAUGAGGCGUUGAUACGGAUAAAACGUCACUUGAUAUCACAGCGUGCCUUCAAAGAUGUGAGCAUAGAGUUCAUGGAUCUGUACAGCCAUCAUAUUCCAGUUUUUGAGAUUGAUCCUCUUGAGAAGAUUACAGAUGCAUAUCUUGAUCAAUAUCUGUGGUAUGAGGCUGACAAACGUCAGCUCUUCCCAAACUGGAUCAAGCCUGCAGACUCAGAGCCACCCCCACUUUUGGUCUACAAAUGGUGUCAGGGAAUAAACAAUCUAGAGAAUAUAUGGGACACAAGUGAGGGGGAGUGUGUGGUGAUGCUUCAGACAAUGCUUGAGAGAUUUUCUGAAAAGAUUGACUUGACACUGCUAAAUAAGCUUCUACGUCUUGUUCUUGACAACAACCUUGCUGAUUACAUCACUGCAAAAAACAAUGUCUUAUUGUCUUACAAAGAUAUGAGUCAUACAAAUUCCUAUGGUCUCAUGUGGUCUGCAGAUUGCGUCAUUUGUUUUACAGUAUUAUGGGCUGGUUUUGGAUCUAAUGCUUCUUGGAUUGACUCAGGCCAGUGAAAUUGCAGGUCCACGGCUGAAGCCGAAUGAGUUCAUGACUUAUGGGGACACAAAGGUUGAGACUCACCAUCCUAUCAAGGUGUACUCUCGAUACAUAGACAGGGUGCAUAUCUUAUUCCGCUUCACUCACGAAGAGGCUAGGGACCUUAUCCAGCGAUAUCUUACUGAGCAUCCAGAUCCGAAUAAUGAAAAUAUGGUUGGAUAUAAUAAUAAGAAGUGCUGGCCAAGAGAUGCAAGGAUGAGGCUCCUGAAACAUGAUGUCAAUCUUGGAAGGAGUGUCUUUUGGAAUGUCAAGAACCGUCUCCCUCGAAGCAUAACAAGUUUGGAAUGGGACAACAGCUUGGUUUCUGUUUACAGCAAGGAAAAUCCAAAUUUACACUUCAGCAUGUGUGGAUUUGAAGUGAGAAUACUUCCCAAGAUAAGAAUGAGUACGAAGGAACACCAAAGAGAUGGAGUUUGGAACUUGCAGAAUGAACAGACAAAGGAAAGGACUGCUGUUGCUUUUCUACGUGUUGAUGAUGAAUACAUGAAGGCAUUUGAGAAUCGUGUAAGGCAGAUCCUCAUGUCCUCAGGGUCUACAACCUUCACAAAAGUUAUCAACAAAUGGAAUACAGCCCUUAUUGGUCUUAUGACUUACUUCCGUGAAGCAGUUGUGCAUACACCAGAGCUGUUAGAUUUACUGGUCAAAUGUGAAAAUAAAAUUCAGACCCGCAUUAAGAUUGGAUUGAAUUCCAAGAUGCCAAGCAGAUUUCCACCUGUCAUUUUUUACACUCCAAAAGAAAUUGGAGGACUUGGCAUGUUAUCUAUGGGUCACAUAUUGAUUCCACAGAGUGACCUCAGAUACUCUCGGCAGACGGAAAUUGGUGUGACACACUUUAGGAGUGGAAUGAGUCAUGAAGAGGAGCAGCUGAUUCCAAAUCUUUACCGUUACAUACAACCAUGGGAGAGUGAGUUUGUAGAUUCACAGCGUGUUUGGGCAGAAUAUGCACUAAAAAGGAAGGAAGCUCUGGCACAAAAUCGGCGUCUUACCCUUGAAGAUUUGGAAGAUUCAUGGGAUAGGGGAAUACCACGCAUAAAUACAUUGUUCCAGAAGGAUCGACACACUUUAGCAUAUGACAAAGAGUGGAGAGUCCGCACAGAUUUUAAGAAGUACCAAAUCUUGAAGCAAAAUCCUUUCUGGUGGACACACCAAAAGCAUGAUGGGAAAUUAUGGAAUCUCAACAAUUAUAGAACUGAUGUGAUCCAAGCUCUUGGAGGAGUUGAGGGAAUACUUGAACACACCUUAUUCAAAGGUACAUACUUCCCUACUUGGGAGGGUCUCUUCUGGGAAAAGGCAUCUGGAUUUGAGGAAUCGAUGAAGUAUAAAAAGUUGACAAAUGCUCAAAGAUCUGGCCUCAACCAAAUCCCCAAUCGUAGGUUCACACUUUGGUGGUCGCCUACCAUAAAUCGAGCCAAUGUCUAUGUCGGUUUUCAAGUGCAGCUGGAUCUAACUGGAAUAUUUAUGCAUGGGAAGAUCCCAACCUUGAAGAUAUCACUGAUUCAGAUAUUCCGUGCACACUUGUGGCAGAAGAUUCAUGAAAGUGUUGUGAUGGAUCUUUGUCAGGUUUUGGAUCAGGAAUUGGAUGCUUUGGAAAUUGAGACUGUGCAGAAGGAAACCAUACAUCCCAGGAAGAGUUACAAAAUGAACAGCUCUUGUGCAGACAUUCUUCUCUUUUCUGCUCAUAAAUGGCAAAUGUCAAAACCUAGUCUUGUGGCUGAGCCAAAGGACGAGUAUGAUCAGAAAACAAGCAGUAAGUACUGGAUAGAUGUGCAACUCCGUUGGGGAGAUUAUGAUUCUCAUGAUAUUGAACGUUACACCAGGGCGAAGUUUAUGGACUAUACGACUGAUAACAUGUCUAUCUAUCCUUCUCCGACAGUAGUGAUGAUUGGAAUUGAUUUAGCUUAUAAUGUGCAUUCUGCCUUUGGUAACUGGUUUCCUGGAUCAAAACCACUGAUUCAACAGGCAAUGAACAAGAUCAUGAAGUCAAAUCCAGCAUUAUAUGUGUUGAGGGAGCGUAUAAGGAAAGGAUUGCAGUUGUAUUCCUCUGAGCCUACAGAGCCAUAUUUGUCUUCCCAAAACUAUGGGGAGCUCUUCAGCAAUCAAAUUAAAUGGUUUGUUGAUGAUACAAAUGUGUAUCGUGUUACAAUGCACAAGACUUUUGACGGAAAUCUUGUUACAAAACCAAUCAAUGGUGCUAUUUUCAUGUUCAAUCCAGGGACUGGGCAGCUGUUCUUGAAGGUUAUCCACACGAGUGUGUGUGGGCAGGACAGAAGCAACUUGGGCAGUUGGCUAAGUGGAAAACUGCAGAAGAAGUUGCUGCUCUUGUGCGUUCUCUACCUGUUGAAGAACAGCCAAAGCACAUUAUUGUGACUCGUAAGGGAAUGCUCGACCCAUUGGAGGUUCACUUGCUGGAUUUCCCAAACAUAAUUAUAAAAGGAAGUGAACUGCAGCUUCCAUUCCAGGUUUGCUUGAAAAUUGAGAAGUUGAAUGAUCUGGUACUAAAGGCUACUGAGCCACAGAUGGUUCUUUUUAAUGUCUACGAUGAUUGGUUGAAGAGUGUUUCAUCAUAUACUGCAUUCUCUCGGCUCAUUCUGAUUCUUCGGGCACUACAUGUGAACAGAGACAAAGCAAGUAUGUUGUUGAAGCCUGACCGUACAGUCAUUAGUGAGCCACACCACAUUUGGCCUUCUCUUUCUGAUGAGCAAUGGAUGAAGGUUGAGCGUGCUCUAACAGAUCUCAUACUGUCAGACUAUGGUAAAAAGAAUAAUGUGAGUACAUCAGCCCUCACACAGUCUGAGAUUCGUGAUAUAAUACUUGGAGCAGAGAUUACUCCACCGUCUCAACAGAGGCAAGAGAUAGCCGAGAUUGAGAAACAGGCUAGAGAAGCAAGUCAGCUGACAGCACUCACCACAAGGACCACAAAUGUGCAUGGAGAUGAGCUUAUUUCCACCACUACUAGUCAAUAUGAGCAAGCUUCAUUCAGGUCCAAAACUGAUUGGCGUGUGAGAGCAGUAUCAGCCACAAAUCUACAUCUUCGUGUCAACCAUAUAUAUGUGAGUUCAGAAGAUACAAAGGAAGCGAGUUACACAUACAUCAUGCCAAUGAACAUUUUGAAAAAGUUUAUCUGUGUUUCUGAUCUGAGGACACAAAUUGCUGGUUACUUGUAUGGUAUAAGCCCACCUGACAACCCUCAGGUUAAGGAAAUCCGCUGCAUUGUGAUGCCACCACAGUGGGGCACCCAUCAGCAAGUUCAUCUUCCAUCAACUCUUCCUGAGCAUGAUUUUCUCAAUUGUUUGGAACCUCUGGGAUGGAUGCACACCCAGCCAAAUGAACAACCUCAGCUUUCUCCUGAGGAUUUGACAGCUCAUACUAACAUGUUGGAGAAUUCAAAGCAGUGGGAUAGGGAGAAAUGCAUUAUUAUGACCUGUGCUUUUACUCCAGGUUCCUGCUCGUUAACUGCGUAUAAAGUUACUCCAUCUGGUUAUGAGUGGGGAUGUUAUUCUAAUAAGAACACCGGAAGAAACAGUAAUCCACUAGGUGGAUACCUUCCAACUCACUAUCAGAAGGUCCAGAUGCUUCUCACUGACCGCUUCCUUGGUUUCUACAUGAUUCCUGAUGAUUGUCCAUGGAACUUCAAUUUCAUGGGAGUGAGGCAUGUGACAUGAAGUAUGGCGUCAAGCUUGGACCACCCAAGGAGUACUAUCACGAGGAACACCGACCAACCCAUUUCAUGGAGUUCAGCGAACUAGAUAAGGAUGAUCCAAUGGAGCUAGAUCGAGAUGAUUCCUACGCAUAGUCUUCUUCGUUUUUCCUGCCGACAAACUUCUUGCAUACAUGAUGCCAGGCAACAUGGGACUCAAAAUUUAAGGGCAUGAUUUGCAUCCUUCAACUGAUAAACAAAGGCCACAGCAAAAACUUGUU